rnacentral:rRNA from 1 species
GCGAGGGGGGGACCGGCUAACCCGUCCUUGCGUCAUAUGCAGCGGAGCCGCGCGGAGACGGCCGGGGACCGCCCGAGAGGGUGGGAACUGUGCUGGAGCCGAGCGGAUUCGACAGAUCACUUCGGCGGAGGUGUUGUGAGAUCUCCUGGGCGACUGGGAGGCCCCGUGACCGCCGCCGGUAUUUUCAAGCCAAAAUCCUUUUGUAACAGGUGUGAGAAGUCUGAGUGAAUUGAAGAAGUACGAAAAAGCAAAACUUUCAACAACGGAUCUCUUGGCUCUGGCAACGAUGAAGAACGCAGCGAAACGCGAAAGGUAAUGCGAAUUGCAGAAUCAGUGAGUCAUCGAAUUUUUGAACGCACAUUGCGCCUCUCGGUAUUCCGGGAGGCACGCCUGUUCGAGCGCCAUUACACACUCCAAGCUCUGCUUGAUGCUGGGUGAAGCGCAGCCCUCUGGCGACGGGGGGCGCGCACGCCUGUAACACGUUGGCGGCCGCCGCCGGACGACGAGCGUAGCACGACUGCAUGGUCAAGGUCGCUGUGUCGGCUCCGGUGGAGGGUCUCUGCCUUUGUAACAGAAAAGUAACCAUUUGGCCUCGGAUCAGGCGGGGAUACCCGCUGAACUUAA